GACGAACGCUGGCGGCGUGCUUAACACAUGCAAGUCGAACGGAACGGCCCUGCCUUUGUGGGGUGCUCGAGUGGCGACCGGGUGAGUAACACGUGAGUACCCUGCACUUGCCUUUGGGAUAACUUCAGGAAACUGGGGCUAAUACCGGAUAGGAGCUCCUGCUGCAUGGUGGGGGCUGGAAAGUUUCGCCGGUUGGGGUUGGACUCGCGGCUCAUCAGCUUGUUGCUUGGGUAGUGGCUUACCAAGGCCUGGACCGGUAGCCGGCCUGGGCGGGUGACCGGACACGCUGGGACGGGAAUGCGACCCAGACUCCUACGGGACGGAGGGGUGGGGUAGGGUGCACUAUGGGCGGGAGCCUGGUGCAGCAACGCCGCGUGGGGGAUGACGGGCUGCGGGUUGGAAUGCGCUUUCGCUUGUGACGAAGCGUUAAUGACGGUAAUGGGUAAAGAAGCACCGGCUAACUACGUG
rnacentral:rRNA from 1 species